rnacentral:rRNA from 1 species
AAUUUUGGACAAUGGGCGAAAGCAUGAUCCAGCAAUGCCGCGUGCAGGAUGAAGGCCUUCGGGUUGUACACUGCUUUUGUACGGAACGAAAAGCUUUGGGUUAAUAGUCUGGUGUCAUGACGGUACAGAAAGAAUACUCACCGGAUAACUACGUGCCCGCCCCCGCGGAAAUACGUAGGGUGCAAGCGUUAAUCGGAAUUACUGUGCGUAAAGCGUGCGCAGGCGGUUUUGUAAGACAGAGGUGAAAUCCCCGGGCUCAACCUGGGAACUGCCUUUGUGACUGCAAGGCUAGAGUACGGCAGAGGGGGGUGGAAUUCCUCGUGUAGCAGUGAAAUGCGUAGAUAUGCGGAGGAACACCGAUGGCGAAGGCAACCCCCUGGGCCUGUACUGACGCUCAUGCACGAAAGCGUGGGGAGCAAACA